AGGCUCAUUGACUUUAAUUUAAUGGAUCAGCUACGCAGCAGCCUAUAGUCUGAAGCUCAGUGAGGAAGGAUGGAGAGUUCAUUCCUUUCAGUCGGCUGCCCGGACGAAGCAUGGCUUUCCUUGAAAUACUCAUUGUGUGAUUGGCGGGCUGGCCUUGCCCGUACUUUCUGCUUUGAGAUGACCUUUGCGCAUGUGCACUGACAGAAAAGGAGUGUGGCUAAAGUAAGCUUAGAGGAAAAAAGUUCCUUAGCCUGUAAUGUUGAUUUGUAAUUCCUGUCGUUCCUCUUGGAAAUUGUUGACAUUCCCAUGUGCAAAUUCCCUUAUCCAAGAGGAAACCUUGACAUUUCAGAAGAGAAGUGUGUUUUUAACCAGAGGGACGUUUAAAACACUGUCAGUGGGCAUUGAGAAUCUUCUUUGAAUCGACGGACAUAGCCUGUGUGGAGAACGUUUUGCUCCGAUGUGAGAGAAUCCUGCGGCUCCCUCUCUGCUCUGCCAUCGCUCCAUCCUCAGAGGGCUCUUCAUUCAGUUCCAAGAAGUACUGUCCAGGAAGAAUUUCUGGAGUGAACAAGUCCAACACCUGCAUCAUCCCUUAUGUGUGGACCCCUGUGCCUGUUUACGGCCUGGCUUUUACCACCUGGAGGCCAUUCCACCACAAACAUGUAAAGAAGCAUCAAGAAGGGGAAGCAUUGAGCAUGCAGCUUGGAUGUCUCAAGACAUGAAGUGCCACAAGGUGGGAUGAGAAGAGGAAUACAGAGGUCAGCAAGAGGCCACACCCUCUGCAGUGUGCAGAUAUGGGAAAACUGUCAAGAGAACUGUUUUCAUAUAUUGACACUUUACUACUGUUGUGCUUCUCAGAAAGAGUUACCAUUCACUUUCAAUUUAUCCCAACUCGGAAUAAAAGGCCAUAAGUAAGACCUCAUUGUUAUUAUUGGGUUUGCUGAGGUAGGUGUUGUCUUGUUGGAGGAAGUGUGUCACUGUGGGGGUGGGCUUUGAGGUCUCUUUUGCUCAAGCUUUGCUCAGUGUUAUAGACAGUCUACUUCCUGUUGCCUUCUGAUCAAGAUGUAGUCAGCACCAUGUUUGCCUGCAUACUGGCAUGCACCCCAACAUGAUGAUAAUGGACUGAACCUCCAAACUGU